CGAAUUUCCGAUGUCUUAAAAGAUUCACAAUAAAAAAGGAAAUUCCUCUGCUUAAAUAAUUGAGCCCCAAAAUAAAUGUGAAUAGUUAAGUUUUUAUUCAAAAUUAUCGAAAGCAAAGUUUCAUAUGUGUUUUCAUACGAAUACUGACCCCCUCAAUACUGAAUAACAGACGGACGGCCACACGAAAAAAAAAUAAAAAAAAAUACUGAAACGGUUUACUUUCGAUCAGAAAUCCGAAAAAUGACAGACAUAUCACGUAUCAUGAUAACACUGUUAAAACUGUUAACUUGUGUUGUUUAUAAUAUAAAUUCAAGUUCUUCGUGUUCAUACUGUCAAUAUUUUAUUUUUUUACUUCAAAACAAAUGUUGGUGUAGAAAAUUCAGGGGAGGCAGUUGCCUCCCCUGCCUCAUAGGUAGUUACGGCCC
rnacentral:lncRNA from 1 species